GACGAACGCUGGCGGCGUGCUUAACACAUGCAAGCCGAACGGAAAGGCCCUGCUUUUGUGGGGUGCUCGAGUGGCGAACGGGUGAGUAACACGUGAGUAACCUGCCCUUGACUUUGGGAUAACUUCAGAAAACUGGGGCUAAUACCGGAUAGGAGCUCCUGCUGCAUGGUGGGGGUUGGAAAGUUUCGGCGGUUGGGGAUGGACUCGCGGCUUAUCAGCUUGUUGGUGGGGUAGUGGCUUACCAAGGCUUUGACGGGUAGCCGGCCUGAGAGGGUGACCGGCCACAUUGGGACUGAGAUACGGCCCAGACUCCUACGGGAGGCAGCAGUGGGGAAUAUUGCACAAUGGGCGGAAGCCUGAUGCAGCAACGCCGCGUGCGGGAUGACGGCCUUCGGGUUGUAAACCGCUUUCGCCUGUGACGAAGCGUGAGUGACGGUAAUGGGUAAAGAAGCACCGGCUAACUACGUG
rnacentral:rRNA from 1 species